AUGCACGCUGGCGGCGUGCCUAAUACCUGCAAGUCGAGCGAACGGACGAGAAGCUUGCUUCUCUAAUGUUAGCGGCGGACGGGUGAGUAACACGUGGAUAACCUACCUAUAAGACUGGGAUAACUUCGGGAAACCGUAGCUAAUACCGGAUAAUAUUUUGAACCGCAUGGUUCAAAAGUGAAAGACGGUCUUGCUGUCACUUAUAGAUGGAUCCGCGCUGCAUUAGCUAGUUGGUAAGGUAACGGCUUACCAAGGCAACGAUGCAUAGCCGACCUGAGAGGGUGAUCGGCCACACUGGAACUGAGACACGGUCCAGACUCCUACGGGAGGCAGCAGUAGGGAAUCUUCCGCAAUGGGCGAAAGCCUGACGGAGCAACGCCGCGUGAGUGAUGAAGGUCUUCGGAUCGUAAAACUCUGUUAUUAGGGAAGAACAUAUGUGUAAGUAACUGUGCACAUCUUGACGGUACCUAAUCAGAAAGCCACGGCUAACUACGUG
rnacentral:rRNA from 1 species